AGUGGUAUAGCUCAGUGGUAGAGCCCGUGCCUAACAUGCAUGAGGUCCUGGGUUCAGUCCCCAGUACCGCCA
rnacentral:tRNA from 1 species